GGGGAGCGCAGGGCAGGAGGCCGGGGGAAUAGGUGGGGGGCGGGGGUUGUCCGGAUUUACUGGGCGUAAAGGGAGCGUAGGCGGGAAACUAAGCGGAUCUUAAAAGGGCGGGGCUCAACCCCGUGAUGGGGUCCGAACUGGUUUUCUGGAGUGCAGGAGAGGAAAGCGGAAUUCCCAGUGUAGCGGUGAAAUGCGUAGAUAUUGGGAAGAACACCAGUGGCGAAGGCGGCUUUCUGGACUGUAACUGACGCUGAGGCUCGAAAGCUAGGGUAGCGAACGGGAUUAGAUACCCUAGUAGUC
rnacentral:rRNA from 1 species